rnacentral:lncRNA from 1 species
CGCACAGUUCAGCACCUGGUGGGACCCACUGGACAGCUGCAUGACAGAGGCAUUGAACUCAGGACCUUGUGAGGCAGUCGGUGGAACCAAUGAGCUAAAUCCACGGCCCAAGUUUAUUCUUCUUUAUAGCAGAGUAGUACUCCAUUGCAUGUGAAAACUUUCUUUUUUUUAUUACUACUUGGUUCUCAAAGAAACAAGAUGUCUUCAGCUGAUGUAAUCUUGCCCUUGAGCAUCACAAUAUCAUGGGAUCAUUCAAGCUUCAACUUGUCUCCAGAGGCAAAACAGAGUUAUGUUUCCGCAUGCCAUAGCUGGCUCAUGGGCAAGAAAACACUGGGC